ACAGCUGAUUUUAGACCCUACGGAGAGAGAGAGAGCGAGCUGACGAGCGGUUUGUUUUGAAACGGGACCAAAAGUGGAGGUAGCGACGACAUAAAAAGCGAGGUAACUUUGCAUAAGAGGAAGGUGGAGAGAGGACAACUGGAAGCGAAGAAGGGGGACAAGGAGAGUAUAGAAGAUGUACUGUCCAUUUUGUGGAUCUGCCUUGGCAGCUUCCCCUGGGUUUUGUUGUGCGUGUGGCAAAAACGUCAGCUUUCUUAAAGAUGUGUCAAACAAAGUACCUGAGGAGAUGCCCACGACCAGUGCACACGAUUUAUGUUGGAAUAAUGAAGAUGACCGGUGAUUCCCUUAAACCUGUAAGAGGGAAGUCCCUUCCCCUUCAUAUUCAACCUCACUGGUCAUCUGAUCAACUGUUGGCUGCUGCUGUAAAGAAGCUGAAAGAUUUUAAUCAGGAUAUGGAAGAUGGUGCACAUGUUUUAUUGUACCCUGAUGCUCAAGAAGUCAGAAAGAUCCCAGGAACAGACACCCCUUUCACAGUUCAAAAAUACAAGGAGGCAAUUGGAAAGGCCUACCAAAGGAUAACAAUGUACAUUUGCACUGUUGAAGACUUUGCCAACAGCUGUAAGUGCUUCUGACAUAUUUCCCACCUUAUUUAAAGCUUCACUCUAUAUUAUAUUUUAGAUUUAAACAUCACUGUCAUCAAAUGGUCUAGUAUGACUAGUGGUAGAUUUAAAUAUAAAAAAGAGCAUUCACUUUCUUUCUUUAAAACUAAAAUAGGAAUUAGGCCUUAGGCUUGUAUUUCGAAUGCAAU